CUCGGAGUUUGAUCCUGGCUCAGAUUGAACGCUGGCGGAAUGCUUUACACAUGCAAGUCGAACGGUAGAGGGGGCAACCCCUUGAGAGUGGCGAACGGGUGAGUAAUAUAUCGGAACGUGCCCAGUCGUGGGGGAUAACGUAGCGAAAAUUACGCUAAUACCGCAUACGAUCUAAGGAUGAAGACGGGGAGUCGCAAGACCUCGCGCGAUUGGAGCGGCCGAUAUCAGAUUAGGUAGUUGGUGAGUAAGGCUCACCAAGCCACGAUCUGUAGCUGGUCUGAGAGGACGACCAGCCACACUGG
rnacentral:rRNA from 1 species